GGCACGUUAGACCCGCCUCGCGAGAGGGAACCCGGUGAGAGUCCGGGACUGUCCCGCAGCGGUAUGCAGGAACGACCGCCGUCACAAGCACUGGUCUUGAGGGAUCUAAGACUGGGAAGCGACGGCCAGUAGGAGCACGGGAGUGCGCGCCUGCGAGUCCGAAGACCUGCC
rnacentral:ncRNA from 2 species